rnacentral:rRNA from 1 species
CCUACGGGAGGCAGCAGUGGGGGAUAUUGCACAAUGGAGGAAACCCUGAUGCAGCGACGCCGCGUGGGCGAUGAAGUCUUUCUGUAUGUAAAGCCCUAUCAGCAGGGAAGAAGAACUUACGGUACCUGAGUAAUAAUCACCGGCUCACUACGUGGCAGCAGCCGCGGUCAUACGGAGGGUGCAAGCGUUAUCCGGAUUUACUGGGUGUAACGGGAGCGCAGGCGGCACGGGAAGCCUGGUGUGAAAGCCCGCGGCCCAACCGCGGGACUGCAGUUGGACCUACCGGGCUGGAGUGACGGAGAGGUAGGCGGAAUUCGUAGUGUAGCGGUGAAAUGCGUAGAUAUUACGAGGAACACCAGUGGCGAAGGCGGCUUACUGGACGGUGACUGACGCUGAGGCUCGAAAGCGUGGGGAGCAAACAGGAUUAGAUACCCUAGUAGUC